rnacentral:lncRNA from 1 species
UUCAGAGCUUCUCCAUCCAGACAAUAUGGAAUCCGAGUGGACAGUUUCAGAACCAAACAUGAUUAGUUAUGGAAAAACAGGAGCUGAAGGUGAGAUAGCAGAAGCAAUGAUAGAAUGAUAUAAUGAAAUAAUGUAGAUUAAGGGCAUCUCUGCGAGAUGUUUGUACAUAAACGAUUUGUAGGAUGGAGUAGAACAUCUCGACAUUAAUAAUUCACUUUGUAAAUCUUAUGAUAAUUCUUUGAAUUCAAUUUUAAUUAUUAUUUUUUUUGUAACAGGUAUAGGUAGCAGCAACUUUAAACUAAACCUAGAAAACAUGGAUACUUCUACGAAGGUAAGAAACUGAUCACUAGAUGGUUGACCAAAAUACUACAUAGAGAUUCAAUCUAUUAGCGACAUUUCCAUUUUAAUUAAAUGAAUAGUUAUAGUUAAACACAAUACUCUAGCAGCGUCGCUGCACAUGCAAAUUUGUGUAACUAUAGCGGUCGCAGGGGUUGCAGCUGCAACCUUGCCCGUCACUACAGGGGGUGACUAGCAAGAGGGGUGCGCACAGCACAUCACUUCCCUCCUGCCGGUCACAGAAUUUGGCGUGGCUGAGAGGACGGUGGUCUGACAGAAAGUGCUCUCAGUGAGAACGAGCACUUCCUGUUGGACCUGGUUCCACGGUCAGCACAGUCAUGCUUCGUAGAGGGAUAGAACAGAUAUCACAUACAGGAGAAGAAGGGAAAUAGGGGAGAGACACAAGGUGGACACCUGGAGGAGCUGGGAGGGGGAUAAUGAGAUGCAUAGAGGAGCUUGGGGGGGAUGAGACACAUGGAAGGGGAGAUGAGACACAUGGAGGGGCAGGAGAGGAGGAUUAGCACAGGGAGGAUCUGGGGGGAGGAUGAAACACAUGGAGGAGCUGGAGGGGGGUGGAUGAGACACAUGGAUGAGCUGGGGGAUGAAUGUGACACAUGGAGGAACUGGAGGAGAAUGAGGCACAUAGUGGGGAUGAGACACAUGGAGGAGCUGUGGGCUGGAUGAGAUAAAAAUACACAGAUGGGUCCGCGCUUUAAGAUAAUACAAGGAAAAAAGACAGAAAAGGGCUGCGCAACAUACAGUAAGAUAAAAUAAAAUUAAAAUAAAAAAUAAGAACAAAAGUACUAUGAGUCUUGUUCCAGCUGUGCAAACACUCUCAUAUGAAAGUAUCUCUUAAAUAAAGAGUAAGUUCUGCUGUAGUUCCUAAAUUCUUUAAUGCUUGGGAGGUGUAGAAGUUCUGGGUGUCUUUGGUCUCCAUAUGUGGGCAGAAGAAGAGACAAGUAAAAGUAAUAAAAAUAAGUAAAAUGUCAGGAAAUAGUCAUGUGCAUGGGAAAAAUUUUCGGUUUGGUUCGGCAUUCCGAAAUUCGGGACUUCGGCAAUUCGGCACUUAGGGAAUUUGGCACUUCGACACUUCAGUAAUUUUGGAACUUCGGGACCUCGGCAGGUUGGCACUUCGGCAACUUCGGCACUUCGGAAUUUUGGAACUUCUCCUGCAGCUGCUUGGUAGAUAACUCCCUAAUUCCCACGGUAUUAGGGAGUUAUCUACAAAAAGGCUGAAAGACCUAAAUUGGUUUUUCAGACAAAUUUACUAAUACUAAGUAGUGGCAUGUCUAUUAAACAGUGAGCAGCCAGUAGGGUCCUCAAACCCCUAGUCACCCCGUCCCAAAAAAAAUGAACCCCUACCUACCCCCCUCACCCUAAAAAUAGGGACCAUUAGCUAAACCUGUUAAAAAAUAAAAUAAAACUUACCAUUUGAUGUUUUCUUUCUUCUAAAGUCUUAUUUUUUCAGCCCCCAAAAAGGCCAAAUAAAAAGCCAUAAUAACCGACGCACUUUAAAAAUAUGAAUUUUUUUUUUUAAACAAGCGCGAAAAAAAAAAAAUCCAUCUUCACCCAUGGAGGGCUCAGCACAGACUGAGCUCUACAGGGCCGGGGAAGGCUUAUAAAGCCUUGCCCCACCCUGCAAUUAGGCUCAGAGCACUCUGAUUGGUGGGUUUAAGCCAUCCAAACAGAGUGCUCUGACAGGUAAAUGAAGGGACUGACAGGUAAGUCUCUACAUUUACCUGUCACAGCACUCUGAUUGGUUGGUUUGAAAUCCACCAAUCAGAGUGCUCUGUGUCAUUUUACAAAGCAUGGGAAAGUUCCCUGGAAUUUUCCCACACUGUGUAAUGUGACUCAUAACACUCUGGUUGGCGGCACGUGUGGGGGCUUGGGAGGGGGGGACGUGUUUUGCUUGUUUUUUUACAGUGAGCAGCCAGAGUUUAAUAGACAUGCCCCUACUCACAGUAUAGCGAGUAGGGGCAUAAUUUACUAAUACUAAGUAAUCUUAGUAAUUUACUAAUACUUAGUAAAUUUGUCUGAAAGACCAAUUUAGGUCUUAGAAAUGAUAUUGGAAGCCAAAGAAGCUAAUGAGUUUACCAAGGGAGGCAUAUUGUACAUUGAUGUACCUACAUAUUGUACAUCAAUGUACAUGACCGGUGUAUAGUCGCCAUAUGGGCAGUCGGACUCCAGGACAACCCUCCCACAUACCUAACCCAAUAACUCACUGACACAAAGGUAUAUGGGAAAAUUUGUCCACAGCUUUAUUUAAACAAUCUUGAAUAAUAAUAAUUUAUUAAGCAAUAAUAAUUUAACAAUAAACAUGGGUCAUUGCCCCCAUACUCCGCCCUCGUAACCGAAUCCUUCUGUUAAUAUAACAGGCAAUGACCCCCAUAUAAAUAACAUAUAUACAUAUAUAUAUAACAUACGUAUCAACAUAUUCCAACAUACCAACUUAAAGUGCCAAACAUAAAUUAACCAUGGCAGGGGUAUACCCGGAUACCCCUGCCCCACCAGAUUCUGAGCCACCGACAGGACUCGGAACCUACCAACCACCAAUGACCACAGUUUUACGUCUCCAUGACGUUCAUCCUAGGGAGCCUAUUUCUUCUCCUUCAGCUCCCUAUCCCGCCACAAGCUCAGACCUUGACUCCUUAAGCUGUCUGAGCUCCGCCACCCCGAAGAAAAAGAGCCUUAGUUAUGCCAUCCUGCCAGCCCAGGGUCAACAGAUCCCAACCAACUGCCGAGAGAUGGACUCCAUCCGAGCGGUAGUACCCUGGCAAACCACCUUCCAACUCGCUGUGUCGAACUACCACACCCCCUAGCUUCCGCACGAAGCUUGCCAUCAAGCUAUUCACUUUCUUCCUACACCUGCCAAUAGCCUCCGGGUCCCUAGCAUGCCGCCACCGCUUCCUAGGGAUAAUCUCCGACCAGACCAACAUCACCCCCGGAAGUAGGUCCCUUAAACUGUUAAGGUCCUGCUUCAUCCACUUCACCAGCCGCCGCUGCAGAGUGAGGCCCAAGUCGUUGCCCCCCGCAUGGAGCACCAGCAGGUCCGGCCGUUGCCCGCCUGCUACCAUCCGGAACACCCUUCCGCAGACCUCCCCCCAACAAAAACCCCUGUACCCAAACCAUUGCACUGCCAACUGGUCCCGAUGAAAGCCCAGCUGGUGGCCCUGAGCUCGAGCUGCAGCCCUCCUUUCGGCCCAGAAGACAAAUGAAUGGCCCACGAUCCAUGCGACACGGCCUGGGGGAGAGAAGAAAAACAGAUCAUAACAGCCCCUUAUACACCCAGCCCCCGGGGAUCCCCCCAAAGGCCCUUCACCAUACUACUCCAAUAAACCCAAGCGCACAUAUGAACGGAACCGUACCGACUCCCAUCUCCCAAUCCGUUUCACUAUGUCAUCCCCCAGACCCAACCGAGCUGCCUCCGUAGCCGCCCCAAUGCGAAAGGAGUGUGUACCAAAAGUAUCCACCCUCAGUCCUAGCUUUCCCAGUCCAGACCGAAAAACCUUGGUGAACUGGAACCGGGAGAGGGAAGACCUGUCCGCGUGUACCAGCAGUGAUCCUCCAACCCCCGGCCUCCGUGCCAUGUACCCCGCCACUGCGGCCACUGGGCACAAAGCGGAGCCCGGCAGGGCCCGCAGCGUCACAUCUCGGCCCUUGCCUAACAUGUCCGUCUUGGAUUUUGCCAGGUGUACAACCACCUUCCCUUCCAGCACUCGGACCCCCGACACCUGUACCCCCCCUGCCGCAGUCCUCGUGGCACUGACCAACUCCCCUACCCGAAAGGCUCCAAAGAAGGCCAACAGAAACGCCGCCUGAAACAACGAUGCUUCGAACCUGUCGAAACAUAUAGUAGGCAAUAAACCGACCAGGUCACUCAACACUCGCACCGAUACUGGGCGCCGAGUGUCAGGCCGCCUGCGGCCCCGCCGGUACCCCUUCAGUGCCUGCCUUAUGACAAAGGCCUUAGUAAGGUCCUCUUCCCCAUGUAGCUUGAACCAGAAAGCCAUCGCCGCCAUGGACCUGUCAACCACCGCCGGGGAUACCCCUUUCGCCAGAAAUUGACAGGUGUACCAGAGGAACGCAUCCUUGAGCGAUUCCCCCGCCGGCAGGCGGUCCAACCCUUCCCAUGACCUUUCCCAGGAGUCCCAGACCUUACUGUAAGCGGCCCAUGUGGCCGGCGCCAGCGAAGCCUUCACCAGUCCCCCAAGCAGGUCGCCCCGAGCCGCCAAAUCUCGUCUGGGCAAGCCUGCCCCACUUCUUGGGCUUCCGGCGCCACCGUCCGGAAUCGUGACCACUGAAAACGAGACAGGGCGUCAGCUACAUCAUUCAUGAACCCAGGCACAUGGCGUGCACGAAAAACAACAUUUAGCGACAUGCACAACAGAACAAAAUGACGUAGCAACCUAACCACGGGUUUCGAUGCCGCUGAUUGGUUAUUCACAGCGUGCACCACGGCCAUAUUGUCCGAGAAAAAGACCACCUUCCGGUCCCGCAGCCUAUCCCCCCACAGGGCCAACGCAACGACCAGCGGGAACAGCUCCAAGAAAGCCAAGUUCCGCAUGAGGGGGCUCAUUCGCCACUCCCCCGGCCAUCGCUCCGCACACCAACGUCCCCCAAAAUAAGCCCCGAAGCCCACGCUACCAGACGCGUCAGUGAACAGCUCCAGUUCCGCAGCCGACACGCCCUCCUGUCUAAAAAUCACCGUCCCAUUGAACUCCCGCAAAAAGGUCUCCCAUACGGCCAAGUCGGCCCUCAUGGCCGACGACACCCGAAUGAAGUGACGCGGGGAUCGCACCACCGCCGUCGCUGCCGACAGGCUCCGGCUGAACACCCUACCCAUUGGGAUCACCCGGCAUGCAAAAUUCAGCAUCCCGAUCAAUGACUGCAGCUGCCGCAAUGUAACCUUACAGGCUUGAGCCGCCGUUGUCACCUCCUCCCUCAGCCGCCGCAACUUCUCCAAUGGCAGCCGACACUCCCCUUGCAAUGUAUCUAUCUCCAGCCCCAGAAAACUAAGGCACGGAGCCGGCCCUUCUGUCUUGUCCGCCGCCAGAGGGACCCCGAAAUGGCCAGCCACCCACUCGACCGUUCUCAGCAAAUGUAGGCAGGCGGGGGAGCCCGCCGGUCCCACGCAUAGAAAAUCGUCCAGGUAGUGUACCACAGCCCCACUCCCCGCCUCAACCUUGACCACCCAUUCAAGAAAUGUACUAAACUUCUCAAAGUAGGCGCAGGAGAUAGCACAACCCAUUGGAAGGCACAAAUCCACAAAGUACUCCCUGUCGAAGAAACACCCCAGCAAGUGAUGACACGCUGGGUGGACCGGAAGCAGCCGAAACGCUGCUUCAAUAUCCACCUUAGCCAACAGUGCCCCGCGCCCGGCCCUCCUUACCAGCUCGACCGCCCUGUCGAAUGAUGCGUAGGAGACCGAGCACAAGUCCUUGUCAAUAUCAUCAUUCACCGACUCUCCUUCCGGGUAGGAGAGGUGGUGAAUGAGCCUGAAUUUGCCCGGUUCCUACUUGGGAACCACCCCGAGUGGGGAAACCCGCAGACCCUCCAUUGGAGGAGCCGGGAACGGUCCUGCCAUCCUCCCCAAUUUGACUUCCUUGCCCAGUUUUUCCCGCACCACACCCGGGAACUCAGCCACCGAUUUAAGGUUGCGCCGAACCCCAGUCCCCCCCGGUUCCGGAAAGGGAUAAAGAACCCCUGACCAAACCCCGCCCGGAGCGCCACGGCAUCUGCCUUAUUACCAUAGCGGCUUAGCCACGGCUCCAUCGCGUCUAGCCUCACCGGGGUUAGGCCCCGGGGCAAGCGAAACUCCCCCUCCCCCCCCAGCCGAGGUAGGGACCCCGGUGUGCCCUGACUUCCCUUUUUUGAAGCACGGUUGAGCCCAUGCGCGCCUCCGCAGCCCGAACACUCGUGCUUAAAGCGACAGGCGUUUCCCCAUUUGCACUGGCCCUCGUUAAAGAGCCAGCAGAAGCCCUUUUGCAUGGCGGCCGACGAGGCGGACUGCCCCUUUGCGCCGGCCGUGGGCUGAAAUGGCUGCGCUUUUUGCGCCAUCAUCAGCUUCAUCCAGAGAGGCAGGUCCAUUUGAUCCCACCGCAUACCCGGAUUAGCCGCCAAACGCUGCCGGAAUUGCUCGUCGUACCGCCACCAUGCCAGUCCGCCAUAGGUGCGAUACGCCUCCCAAAUGCCAUCCAAAUAACAAAACAGGGAGGAGCACAGGCCCGGCGAUUUCUCGCCCAGAACACUGGCCAACACGCAAAACGCCCUCAGCCAGUUACCGAAAGACUUGGGAAUCUUACGAUACCGCUUCUUCUUCUCUUCCUCCUCUUUCUUCUCAUCUUUUUUAUCGUCCUCUUUGAGAUCGAUAAAAUCCUCCAAAGGGAGAAGAGAAAAGAUCUCGCAGAAGUCACCCUUCCAGAUUUUUUCCUUCACCUCCUGUUUGAGGUGGACCCCCAGCGGACCCGCAAACGACACAUAUGCGUGUUGCCUGGCCGCAUCAGGAACCACCCCCCCCGUCAACUCAGCCCGCUCGCUCGUCGCCUCCGCCCCAGUAACCGUCACUGCAGUGUCCCCACCCGAACUCUGUUCCGCGGAGGGAACCUCGCUCGGGCCCGCCACCCCGGCCCCCUGAGCCCAAACCUGACCCACACCGCCCUUUGUGGCACCCCCCGCUCCCAGUGAGUGGAGAAGUGCUUGAAGUGUAUGAACCAAUGCACUGGAGUGCAGAGAAGCAGAGGACUCACCGGCCAAGCCCCUCGACCCCGAAGCUCCUGGGGCUGCGUUGUGUACUGUCCCCUGACCAGGAUGAGCGACAUCCGUUAACGAUCCUCCAACCGGGGAGCCAACCCGGUGCCCGGCCACAUCAGAUGCGGAGCGGCUCCGAGAUCUGUAACGAGGAGAAGAAGUCCUGGGCAGAGCAUACUGGUCAUGAGCAGCCCCCCCGUCCCGACCUUGAGAGCGCCCGCUGGACACCAGAGCCUCCCGUCGCGCAACCACUCCUUUUCGCCCACCCAAGGCCCGAUCGGCCCUGCCUCUGGGACUACGACUCCUCCCGUUCCUACCAGAGGCCCGCCCCCGUGUAACCAGCCUGGGGGCCAUGACACUCUCCCCCCCUGAGCUACUAGAUGAGGACCCAACACGCCGAGCCCUUCCCUUAACCCCCCCGAACCCCCGGGCCCUAACCGGUGACGGGCUGCUAUCACCAGACCCCAACCUGAACCCCCCCCAGAACUACGCCCACCUAGCCGCUCACCAGCGCAGGGAAAUCCCCACCCCCCACCCCGGCGGGCCCCCCGGCUAGAAGAACCCCCUCCCCUCAGUACCUCUAGACCGUCCCCAGACCCCGCACCCCUAACCUGCCCUGAACGCCCUGCGCACCUCGACCUCCUGCCCCCACCCGAUGGCAAACUUCCCCCUGCCGUACCCCCUGGCCCUUCCACCCUCCCGGCUACAGGCCCUUGCUCCAUGCUCACUACCCUGGAACUACCCUGCGCACCCUCCCCCCUAGGCCUCUCUGCCCCCGCUCUAGAAGGAACCUGACCCCUCUCCAUGUCCACCCCAGGUCUCUGAACCCUGUGCCCAGUCCUCCUGCGCUUAUUCGCGCCAAGGGGGUCCCGGCCGGAACCCCCUGCACUUGCCUGUUCCAGGGGCGGUCCGCGAGCUCCUCCCGCACUGGCCCCGCCAGUCCCCGCCAUGGGUGUAGGAGACGCCCUCCCGGGCUGCAAUCCCGCGUCACCUCCGGUUCCAGGGGGCCGCCCGAUGUCUUCCGCGGCCCCCGCUCCAGGCGCAGCCCUCCCCGAACUGGGAGCCGCACCGUCCGACUCCCGGGUAGCCUCCCGCCGGCUACCGCUUCUCCGACGUCCCGGUAACGCGCCGGGAGGCGGAGCCUCAACCAUGCGGCUACCGGGUCCUUUUCGGCUUGGUCCCGCCGCCGCCCGGCCACUGGAACCGUCUCCACCGGACUCCGCGCCUGGGCUCAGCCGUCUCGGCGGCCUCCGAGCCCGCACAGGCCGACCUCCGCCGCCCUCAUGAUCUGCAGCACCCGCCAGGGCCGGUCCAAGUUGCGCCCGCAGCCAGUCCACGCCACGUCCUUGAGCCGCCAACCGGAUCCGCUCCAACAGCUCCUCCAUGUUAUCCCUCGACCCUGCAGAAGGAGAGAAAAACAAAGACCCCACCAAACCAAAUCUGUGGACACAGGAGUGCACACAAACUCAGCAAGGUAGUAAUUAAAAGUGAAGGCUUUAAAAUGGCUGCCUAUUUAAAUAGCCAAGCCUACUUAUCCAUAACUCCAUACUUCCUUCCCUCCUCCAAUGCCCGCCUCCUAACCCCUGUCAAGGCCUUUUUUCGCUUAGCUGCGCUUUGGCUACAUGGGGCUACAAUAUGUAGGUAAUGCACACAUCUUGCUAACCUGUAAUAAAAAAGUAUUUAUUCAGCACACACAGCAGAUCAAAAUAUAUACACUAACCUACCUCCCAACAUUUUACAUGGACUUAGAUGGAUAUAGCAUUUAGGGGUGUGAAUUUUAGGUGACUUACUAAAAAUUUUUUAUAGAACUAAAAUUUAAUUUAGAAGAACAAAGUAUCUUAUUUCAACAGACUGAUUUCUAAACACAUUUGUUGUAGUUUAAAGACAAUUAUUGGGAGUAUUAUUGCUGUGGAUCUCUCCCUGUCCCUCUUGACUAGUGUCUCUGACUGCCUCUCUGCUGUUUCUAACUGGAUGGCUUCCCAAUUCCUUAAACUAAACUUGACCAAAACUGAAAUUCUGGUCUUUCCUCCCUCAAGUGUUGUUACUCCUGUGUCUGUCUCUCUCCAAGUCAACGGUGCUACCAUCAGCUCCACCACGCAGGCUCGCUGCCUAGGUGUUCUCUUUGACUCGGACCUCUCCUUCAAGUCUCAUGUUCAAUCUAUUGCCAAAUCCUGUCAUUUCCAUCUCAAAAACAUUGAGCGCAUCCACCCCUACUUAACACCAGAUGCGACUAAGGUGUUGGUCCACUCCACUGUCCUUUCUCGCCUUGACUACUGUAAUCCGCUUCUCAGUGGUCUUACGUGCUCCCAACUUGCACCGUUACAGUCCAUAAUGAAUGCGGCGGCGAGGCUCGUCUUUCUGUCCGCCCGCACCUCCUAUGCCUCACCCUUCUGUCAGUCCCUACAUUGGCUUCCUAUAAAAUAUAGAGCUCAAUUUAAAAUUCUGGCUCUUGCUUUCAAAUCUCUACAUAAUGCUGCUCCCACCUAUCUAUCCUCCCUUAUACAGAAGUAUGUCCCGUCUAGGCCCUUACGAUCUUCUGAAGACUUACGUCUAUCUUCUGUCCGCACUCCCACCUCUGAUGCUCGCCUUCAAGAUUUCUCGAUGGCUGCACUGUUCCUGUGGAACUCGCUUCCCUCCUCCCUCCACUCCUUCAGAAAAUCGUUAAAAACCUACUUCUUCAUAAAAGCGUAUCAAUUAAACUGUUAAUAGCUCCUGACUGAUUCCUCUUCUGCAACUGUCACUAGUCUAAUAUUAUCCUUACCUUUUUGUGUCAUUUUACCCCACUCCCUCUAGCAUGUAAGCUCAUUGAGCAGGGCCCUCAACCACUCUGUUCCUGUGUGUCCAACUUUUCUGGUUACAACUGCAUGUCUGUUCGUCCACCCAUUGUAAAGUGCUACGGAAUUUGACGGCUCUCUAUAAAUAUCAUAAUAAUAAUAAUAAUAUGUAUGUACAUACUGAGGAAUCGUGAUGCCGCAUAACAACAGAGAACUAUACCACUUACCCCCCAAAUGAUGACAGCCAACAUAGUAUGGAUGAAACAGGCCACAACAUUUGUUAGAACAUAUGAUAAAAUACUGCAUAACACAUCCGUAAUUUAUUUUAAUCUUUAUCAUUCCUUAAUAUAAACCACACGUUAUACAUAAAUAACCAUAACUUAGCAAAUAGCUUAACACAUAGUGUCAUACAGUAUAACCCAACCGUCCUUGCCAAUAUACUCUCAUCCUCCACAAUCUCGGUCUAAAAGAGAUUGCUCUCUCCUGGUGCUCCUCCUACCUCUCCCUGCGCUCUUUCUCUGGCUCUGCUUCUUCUCCCCAACUCCUCUCUGUUGGUGUCCAAGGUUCAGUCAUUGGUCCUCUACUGUUCUCUUGGUAAACUCAUUAGCUCCUUUGGCUUCCAAUUUCAUUUCUAUGUGUAUGACACGCAAAUCUAUUUGUCCUCUCUUGAUCUCUCCCUGUACCUCUUGACUCGUGUCUCUGACUGCCUCUCUGCUAUUUCUAACUGGAUGGCUGCUCACUUCCUUAAACUCAACUUGACCAGAACUGAAAUUCUGGUCUUUCCUCCCUUUAGUGUUAUUACUUGUGUGUCUGUCUCCCUCCAAGUCAACUGUGCUACCAUCAGCUCCACCAUGCAGGCUCGCUGCCUUCUCUUUGACUCCGACCUCUCCUUCACGCCUCAUGUUUAGUCUAUCACCAAAUCCUGCCACUUCCAUCUUAAAAACAUUGCGCACAUCCGACCCUACUUAACGCCAGAUGCGACUAAGGUCCUUUCCACUGUCCUUUCUUGCCUUGACUACUGUAAUCCGCUUCUCAGUCACCUUAUUUGCUGCCAACGUGCACCGUUACAGUCCAUAAUGAAUGCGGCGGCAAGGCUCAUCUUCCUGUCCGCCCGCACCUCCCACACCUUACCUUUUCUGUCAGUCCCUACAUUGGCUUCCUGUAAGAUAUAGGGCUCAAUUUAAAAUACUGGUUCUUGCUUUCAAAUCUCUACAUAAUGCUGCUCCCACCUCUCUAUCCUCCCUAAUACACAAGUAUGUCCUGUCUAGGCCCUUACGAUCUGCUGAAGACUUACGUCUAUCUCCUGUCCGUACUCCCACCUCUGAUGCUCGCCUUCAAGACUUCGAGGGCUGCACCAUUCCUGUGGAACUCACUUCCCUCUUCUCUUUGAUUCUCACCCAGUCUCCACUCCUUCAAAAAAUCAUUAGAAACCCACUUCUUCAUAAAAACGUAUCAAUUAAACUGUUUAUAGCUCCCGACCGAUUCCUCUUUUGCAACUGUCAUUAGUCUAAUACUAUCCUUACCUUUUGUGUCACUUUACCCCACUCCCUCUAGCAUGUAAGCUCAUUGAGCAGGGCCCUCAAACUCUCUGUUCCUGUGUGUCGAAUUUGUCUGAUUACAACUACAUGUUUGUUUGUCCACCCACUGUAAAGCGCUGCAGUAUUUGUUGGCGCUAUAUAAAUAAUAACAUAAUAAUAAUAAUAAACUAACCAUGAGCCUAUGCACCACGUAAUCUCACCUCCCCCCUCGACCGUAAAUUCCAUUUCCUUCCAAUGCUUAACCCCAGCUGACCUUUUCCUCGCUCGGUGUGCACAUCCAAACAGGUAACCUAAGGUUAACCCUUUAGAGCAGGGGAAGUUGAGACCUGAAACUUGACCACAUCAUUCCACAUAUUGACAUAGCCCCUCAAACUGAAUUAGCAAGGUCACACCCCCGGCUAGCUGCGACUACAUAACAAUGGGGCGAGCGGGAGGGAAGCUGUUUGCUGGCCCGAAUCCCAAGUGGCACUGAGGUAAGACCAUCCCACCACAAACUCACACACCACAUAAUCCCACCCACACAUACAUCCACAACCAAUCACAUGCAUCCAUCGCCGCACUCGUACAUGUACCCUUGUCCACUUAGCUGUGCUAUCUCCCCAGGGCCUUUACUGGGAGUAUUAUUGCUAGAUUUAGAAUAUACACAGAAUUGCAGUAUUGGAUUUAGAAUAUACACAGAAUUGCAUGAAAACUGUAACUUUAAUGUACAUAUUUUUAUAAACUAUACCCAGUUUUAUAUUUUCCUAUUUUCCAGAUUCAGAUAAGUCGACCAACUAUAAAUAUAAAUCCAUAGGAUUUGGACUAUUAACAGGGCGGAAUCACAAUUGUCAAAAGUACUGGACUUCCUUGCUUACCUGAUAUCAAGUUCUCAAAAAUAAGAAAAACAGCUGUAAUGUGUAACAUGCCUCCCAACGAUCCCGAUUUCAGCCGAACAGUCAAGAUUAUCGGGUUCUGUCCUGCCGUUUAGAAUUUGUUCCUCGGUGUCCUGCUUUUGGAGAUACUGGGGAAUUAUCCCCAAAAAGUGUAGCUUAAAUGCAUCAUUAGACACUCACAGCACUAGGAUCCUGCAGAGAGCACAGACGCAUUGCUCCUAGUAUGUCCUGCUCUCAGUGGGCUGGCCUCCUUCAUUGGUAGCCAAAAUCACUAAACACUGGCCCGCCCUCUUUACGUCCAUCCUUCUUGGUAUACCAGUGGUGGGGGUAUGGUGUAAAUAUUUGGAAAUCAAUCGUGCCAUAAUGAAAUCCAUUAUAAUCAGAUUGCUAAGAUUUACUUUUAACCCCUUAAGGACACAUGACAUGUGUGACAUGUCAUGAUUCCCUUUUAUUCCAGAAGUUUGGUCCUUAAGGGGUUAAUCAGAAACAUCACUUUUUGGAAUAUAAGAUUUAAAUAUUUACUGACAAUUAAAUAAAAG